UUAACAUCGAACCAGGCCAACGACUUCAGCAACUGCAACCAAUUGCAAGUUAACUAUCUGACCGAGGAAGAAAAGAAAGUAAUCACCCAAGCACAUAAUGAAUACCGGCAAAAGGUGGCAAAUCGUGAAGAAACUCGUGGUAAUCCUGGACCUCAACCAGCCGGUGAUAUUGCUCCUCUGUAGUGGGACGACAAACUGGCUACAAUAGCUCAGAUUUGGGUCUAUCAGUGUCAAAAUGGUCAUUCUGCUUGUGAUGAUACCACUCGCUUUACUGUCAAUCAGAACAUAGCAUUUUCUUCAAAGAGCAACGAGUAUAAAAAAAGAUGUCCCCGGAAUGUUUAGCCAGUGGACCGACGAGGCCAGUAAUUUCGACAGUACUCGCGUAAAUGACAUGCCCAACCAAUCGAAACC